rnacentral:rRNA from 1 species
UACGUAGGGGGCGAGCGUUGUCCGGAAUGAUUGGGCGUAAAGGGCGCGUAGGCGGAUACAUAAGUCGGGCGUGAAAGGCACGGGCUCAACCCGUGUAAGCGUUCGAAACGGUGUGUCUUGAGUGCGGUAGAGGGAAGCGGAAUUUCUGGUGUAGCGGUGGAAUGCGUAGAUAUCAGAAGGAACACCGGUGGCGAAGGCGGCUUCCUGGACUGUACUGACGCUGAGGAGCGAAGGCGUGGGGAGCAAACAGG